rnacentral:lncRNA from 1 species
CCCAUUCUUGGUCACCCGUGAGGUGACAGUGGUGGUGCUGGAAGCGGAGGAGAACUCCUCCUCCUGUAGCAAGUGCGCAGGCAUGUGGCUACCGUGUCCCUGUCCCUCGGCGGCGGUGCGCGGAUGUCCCCGGUGGUGGUGGCGGCGGCGGCGGCGGCUGCUGCUGCGGGACUCUGACUGCUGUCGGCCCCUCGCCGGGCGAGUUGUGCGGCUGGGGAGGCGGGUGCGGAGGUAUUUAAGCGGGGCCGGGCUCUCGGCACCCCGGCCUCCCUGUGACCCCCUGCCCGCUGCGAGAUGCGUG